GUCGCUGCAAAAUCAGCGACCGGGCGUAGGAACCCGAUGAGCAAAAGGCGCAACAGCGCCCAGAUCACCACUGCCGGCGUUUUUUUU
rnacentral:sRNA from 1 species